rnacentral:rRNA from 1 species
GUGAACGCUGGCGGUAGGCCUAACACAUGCAAGUCGAACGGCAGCACAGUAAGAGCUUGCUCUUACGGGUGGCGAGUGGCGGACGGGUGAGGAAUACAUCGGAAUCUACUUUUUCGUGGGGGAUAACGUAGGGAAACUUACGCUAAUACCGCAUACGACCUACGGGUGAAAGCAGGGGAUCUUCGGACCUUGCGCGAUUGAAUGAGCCGAUGUCGGAUUAGCUAGUUGGCGGGGUAAAGGCCCACCAAGGCGACGAUCCGUAGCUGGUCUGAGAGCAUGAUCAGCCACACUGGAACUGAGACACGGUCCAGACUCCUACGGGAGGCAGCAGUGGGGAAUAUUGGACAAUGGGCGCAAGCCUGAUCCAGCCAUACCGCGUGGGUGAAGAAGGCCUUCGGGUUGUAAAGCCCUUUUGUUGGGAAAGAAAAGCAGCAGGUUAAUACCCCGCUGUUCUGACGGUACCCAAAGAAUAAGCACCGGCUAACUUCGUG